AAAGAAUUGAAAUAUGUCUACCUUCAAAUUAUUUAAUCACCCUAGAACAAAUUAGAUUUGGUGGCUGUGAGGGCAAAAACACAACAACAUAUUACAAAACACAGCAAAUGUUUUUCUUUUCUGAAACAGAUUUUUUUGUUAGAUAUUUUUUUUUCUUUUUUUCUUAGUUAAAUGCUGUGUUUUCUGAAAUGUUGUAUAUUGAGUCAACUUGUUGUACUCUAGCCCUUUGCCGCUCCUUAAAAAGGGAGCCAGAUAAAAAGAAAAAAGAGGCAUUUAUAUUUAAACCUCCUGUGUAACCUGAUAGACAUCCAGUGACAGUGGCCAUCUUUUAUUGUUAUGCACACCACCUGCCAGAGUUUUUUAUUCAGAGAUAGGUAAGUUACGAGAUGUCCUGAUCAGAUAACCUGCUGCAGGAUGUCUUAAUCCUUUUGUUCUUUCAAGAAAUAGGUCAUUACCUGAUUGUAGGUGUGCACUGAAUUACCCCUUCGAGAGGUCAUGUGACUCCAAAUACAAAGGGGGCCAGUCUUCAUCAGACUUAUCUGACGGUGUUCAGAAGGAGGAAUCAUUUCAAAACAAAAUCACACUGUUGAUAGUGUGGAGAUAAGACGUGGGGAUAAUUAACUGUGUAUUUAGACUGAGUGAAUCCCACCUGCCCUCCUCUAUUGGCUGCUGGUAGGGGGUGGAGGUUGUGGCUGUAAACUGUGAAGCCUUGCUGGUGUGUUAUCCAAAGGGGCCGCCGUGUAUAUAAAAAGGUGGUGGCAGGUGUUUUUCAACAUAAAGUCGAUGAAUGAUGUGGGUUCUCUUCUUUCUGAGUGCCUUGUUGGGGGCGUUGGGGUCAGAGGAGUCGACCUCUGGAGCUGCUCCGCAGCUUCAAGCUCUCCACUGCCCGCCCUGCGAGCAGAUCCACUGCUCCUCCCGCCGGGCGCUGAAGCUCCAGUGUAAAGGCGGCGUGACGACAGGCGUGUGCGGCUGCUGCCCCGUCUGCGCUAGGGUGGAGGGGGAGAGCUGUGGAGGAACAUGGGACUAUCUGGGCAAGUGUGACGAGGGGCUGGUGUGUGUCUACCAGGACUCAGCAGCUGACAGGCCAGACGCAGAGCGCGCAGGGAUCUGUGAAGCGGUGAUUAACUUGGAUCCAGAGAGCUGCCAGCCAGAGUGCACCAGGGAAUACUGUCAGGCCAACCCCUCUGAAAUCUGCUCUGCCAGGUUUGUGUCUCUGGAGAAGACAACGUGCCAGGGCUCCUGCCAACACACCUCCUGUUCAAGCUGUCUGCUGCUGAAACCCCCGUCCUGUCCUCAGACCUGCAACCACUCUGAUGCGUCCUGUCUGCACCGCUUUGGGAAGUGUGUGCACAACCACCUGACAGCCACUCACAGUCACAUGUGCCACAACAACCUGCAGGGUCAGUCUGAGGGGCAUUUUCGGUGUUUGGUCCCAGCCUGUCUGACAGAGUCAAACUAAUUCCACAAGACUGGAAACCCAGAGAAAACAAGCCCGUGUAGCAAAAUUGAAAAAAAGGCAGCUAUCUAUAAAUAUGUGUGUAUAAAUGAAAUAUCAUUUUGUAUGAAAUAUAAAGUUGAGUAAAAACCUGUGACAUUUUAUGUUUUUUUUUUUAAAUAAUGAGAAAAUAAAAUUCCAAGUGUGUACUCUCUUUUUUUAUUGAUUUGUUUGGGACAAUGGUGUGAUGUUUUAACCAUUGAUGGUUGUGUUGGUCGACCUCUUCCAAGUUUUUUUAUGAGGCUGUCACUUGUUGUACAUUCCGUUGCCUUUCUUUUUACAAGUUGACUUUAAGAGAUACGCAGAAGAAUUCCAAUGUAACUGUACUGUCCUGUACCUUUGCAAAUGGUAAUAAAAAUCUAAUCUCCAAUCUCUCUAAUCAGUAAGCUUCUGUGUCAGGUUUUAGCAGUCGUUUUUACAUAGUUUAUUCUAUUUUUCUACCUGACUACAAGAAUAAAUCCCCCCGCGGACAUAAAGGUUCACUAGUUAAAUGAUACACAACACCUGUGCUGCAUGUGAAAUGCCUGAUUUCACUCUGUACUGGGACUCAGUUGA
ensembl:lncRNA